rnacentral:rRNA from 1 species
AUGGCUGCCGCCGGCGGUAUAAGUCCCUCUCCCUACCCUGGUAGCACAGCUGAUGCUGAUCCAUGUGUAGAAGUAUAUGUAUACCGCCGCAAGGAUCAUGUUCCGCUCAUAACUGGUCUCGUCGUGGUGGGCGUGCUCGCCUUGUUCCUCCUGCAUGUGCUGGGGUCCCUACGCCGGAGGUCAAGCCACAAGCUCCUCCACGUCGUGGUGUCGGGAACCUACGCGCUCUCCUACACGCUGGUCAGCUACACCCUCGGGCUCAUGCAGUCUUCCCGGUACUACGUCGACGAGUUCCCGGUGUGGGCGGUGUGCCUGCUGCUGCUCCUCGGCAGCACCGACAGCCUCACCGUGUGCAGCCUCAACGACAUCGACAACUGGAAGAGCUUCUACGUGAAGCACCUCAUCAAGGGGGCGUUGGUGGUCUACAUCUUCGUCUCCGUCGUCUACUUCCGCAUCGACUCGGACUCGCGCUACCUGGAGGUCCCGCUCUGGGCCAUAUUGUUCGUCAUCGUCCUCCAGUCGUACGCGCGGCUGACAUCCAUGAGGAUGGCCAGCAAGUCCCACCUGCUGUGCCAGAACGUCAAGCUCAUCGCCGACUACAUGCAGCACCAAGAGCAGCUGCAACUGCCUCUCAACCCCGUCACCAUGGAAGGCUACCGGUACGUGGUUGGGGGCGAGCGUAGGCAGAGAUACAAGUACCGACCCGGGACCGGGAGUAGGGUAGGGUACAAGGAGGAGGACUACGCCAAGGUCACCACCGUUGAACAGAUCUGGCAAUGCAAAGGGAGCCUGUUGCGCUCCGACACCAAGAAAGGAUCGCAGCUCAAGGACGUGUGCCUCUCCAUGGCCCUGUCCAAGAUGCUCAACCGAAGGUUCGCUGGCUUCCCCCUCGCCGAGGCGGGGCUUGAGAAAACCCGUGCGUUUGUCUUCCAAGGCCUGCUGGCCGGAGGUAGGCAGUACGAGCGAGCAUUCAGGGUCAUUGAGGAAGAGCUUGCUUUCGUCCAUGACCUGUACUACACUAGGUACCCUUACCUCUACCACAAGGGUCGCUUCAUGGCGCUCUGCUUACCUCUGGCCACGGUCAUCCUCUGCUCCUGGCUCACCUAUGAGCUCUUUGCACAUUUCAAGAUUCUCAAGCAAAACGAGCACCACUCUGACAUAUAUCUCUACACCACACUUAUCUUAAUGGCCGGAGUGACAUUCUUGGAGGUGUUCCAGCUGUAUCUGCACAUGGCGUCAGGUUGGCUCAAGGUAGCGUUGAUCCGGAGCUACGUCACCAGGCCUCUGCUGCAGAAGAGAGGCUGGUUCUUUCACAUAAUCAUGAGGCUCCUCUUGGGCUUGAAGACGCUCCGGCCAUGGGAGGAAAAGCUUGGGCGGUACUCUCUCCUGGACGAGUUCGAUGGUCGAACUAGCAAUUUUCUUCACUAUGUGACACUAUGCCUGGUCGACAAGGCACAGGAGGGGCGUAGGAAAAAGAAGCCACUCAAGCUGCCCGGACAGGUGAAGCAAGCAGUCGUUGAUGCUCUCAUCGGAAGUAAUGGCCGCCUGACCAACGGGGUAAGAUCGCUGGAGAAGAAUCGCGUCCUUGAGAAGCUACCGGCGGCGUGCAAAGCUAGCAAUGGCACGGCCACAUACACCAUGCUGGUCUGGCACAUUGCCACAACCGUCUGCAAGCACCAGCUAGAUCAACAUCCGGAAGACAAGAAGCUGCUGGCGCCCUCCAAAGAGGACACAGGUGCAGUUGACACGUACUUGGUGGCCACCAGUUUGUCGGAUUACUGUGCUUACCUCGUCGCUUUCGCGCCCGACCUCUUGCCCGGGCACAGCUCUGACUCGGCAUUGAUGCUCAGCGAAACAGUCGCCGAAGCGCGCCAUUUGCUCCAAGGGGCAAAGAAGAUGGAGGGCAAGUGUAAGAAACUGAUGAGCCUCGUGGAUGAUGUUGGUGAUGAUGCUGAUGCAUCACUCGUCCUACUUGGUGGCCGGCUCGCGAGGCAGCUCACUGAGGAAAUCGAGGGACCGGUGCUGCGCUGGAAGGUGCUCUCUGAUUUCUGGGCAGAGAUGAUGCUGUACAUCGCGCCGUGUGAGGACGCCCAGGCCCGCGCUCACCUAGAGGCCCUAGCAAGAGGAGGGGAGUUCAUCACCCACCUCUGGGCGCUGCUCACGCACACUGGCAUGCUGAAGCGUGACCCUGCUGGGUCACGGGCGGUCUGA